rnacentral:rRNA from 1 species
AGAGUUUGAUUCUGGCUCAGGAUGAACGCUGGCGGCGUGCUUAACACAUGCAAGUCGAACGGUGCUUAAUGAAACCUAGUGAUUUAAGCACAGUGGCGGACGGGUGAGUAACGCGUGGGUAACCUGCCGCAUGCAGGGGGACAACAGAGGGAAACUUCUGCUAAUACCGCAUAAGCGCACGGGAUCGCAUGAUCCAGUGUGAAAAGAUUUGUCGGCAUGCGAUGGACCCGCGUCUGAUUAGGCAGUUGGUGAGGUAACGGCCCACCAAACCUACGAUCAGUAGCCGGCCUGAGAGGGUGAACGGCCACAUUGGGACUGAGACACGGCCCAAACUCCUACGGGAGGCAGCAGUGGGGAAUAUUGCACAAUGGGGGAAACCCUGAUGCAGCGACGCCGCGUGAGUGAAGAAGCAUUUCGGUGGGUAAAGCUCUGUCAGCAGGAAAGAAAAUGACGGUACCUGACCAAGAAGCCCCGGCUAACUACGUGCCAGCCGCCGC